rnacentral:rRNA from 1 species
AGUGAACGCUGGCGGUAGGCCUAACACAUGCAAGUCGAACGGCAGCACAGGAGAGCUUGCUCUCUGGGUGGCGAGUGGCGGGCGGGUGAGGAAUACAUCGGAAUCUGCCCAGUCGUGGGGGAUAACGUAGGGAAACUUACGCUAAUACCGCAUACGACCUUCGGGUGAAAGAGGGGGAUCGCAAGACCUCUCGCGAGUGGAUGAUCCGAUGUCGGAUUAGCUAGUUGGCGGGGUAAUGGCCCACCAAGGCGACGAUCCGUAGCUGGUCUGAGAGGAUGAUCAGCCACACUGGAACUGAGACACGGUCCAGACUCCUACGGGAGGCAGCAGUGGGGAAUAUUGGACAAUGGGCGAAAGCCUGAUCCAGCAAUACCGCGUGGGUGAAGAAGGCCUUCGGGUUGUAAAGCCCUUUUGUUGGGAAAGAAAUCUUUCAGGCUAAUACCCUGGGAGGAUGACGGUACCCAAAGAAUAAGCAACGGCUAACUUCGUG